GUUGAAAUGAACUAGUUAGAGCAUAUUCUCUGGUGAGAUCAUGUUUUUCUUGAAACGAAGAAUCUCACUUAUACUGUACAACGUCAGGAUAAAGAUGGAAAACCCCUCCUGCCAAAAGAGCCCAAGGAAUCACUUCCACCCAUGAGUGAAGACUUCCUUCUUGAUGCUUUGUCUAAGGACUUUACUGGUUCCCCAGACUCUUCAUCUCUUGUAAGUCUGAAACUCCUGGUUUUAUUUCCUUACUUUAUGGUGGCAGAAAGAAAUGGAAACUGGUGACUUAGAAUCUGACUUUGGAGCUGAGGAAAUAAUCAUAAAAUUAAAGGCUUUCAACCCAUUGUACCCAUGAAAUAUGUUGCAUCCUGAAAGUGUGUCAGCACAGUAGACAUUUGCAACAAUGUAACUAAUUGAACCAAGGAGUGUACACU